AUCUGUUACAGAUUAUUUUCACAAGAUUGUGGAUCGGUGGGAUAAGUCAUGUGUGACAUCAGACCUCAACUCUGACUAGGAGCAAGAAUGUCAAACAGUCCGACAACAUAUCAAGUGAAAUUAUUAGCUUGUUCUUUUAUUACUUUAGGAUGACCUAGGAAAGUAUCAAGUAGUCAUAUCUGAGUGAAAUAUAUCCAAAUAGGCAAUUACUCUAGUAAAAUAUAUCUUGAUUAAAAUAAUCUGGUAAAACAUGUGUUGAUUAAAUUAACUCUUCCAUACAUAGUCCCAAAAGACUCAGGUCAUCCUCCUCAUUAGCCUCGGAGGAGGUAGAUAUCUUCCAACAUUUUUCAACCAUAACUCUCCCCUAAAAAAAAAGUUAAGAAGGCUGCUCUUAAAGCCCCUCCUCAAUUGCAAUUUCUUGUGAGCCUGAAGACAAACCACCAAAAUGGCAUCAGUUGUGGUAAGCAACUUGAAACAGAAAGGGCAGAAAGGUAAGAUAUGAAGUAACAUUAUACUCAUUUUGAUGUUUGUUCUUUAAGUCAGUAGCCAUCCAGGUCCAAGUUCCAGCCAACUGAGUGGACCUGGUUCACAGGCCAGACCAGCAUCGGCCUUUCCAGGACUGAGUUGAAUGGAUGAAAUGGAGACCAGAUCACCGGCAUUUGGGAAAAGGCCAGGGGGCUCAUUCAUUGAGAUUGGAGGCCAGGAGUGGGGGUCCAACCUACAACUUCAAGUCAAAUGGAAAAAAGUAACACUCUCAGAACCCCAAGACUUUGUUUUCAGACCUGUGAGCAAAGUAUCCCACCAAACUGUGCAGGUACUUGUUUAACUGAGGCAUUAUGAUGCCUGCACCAACUGCAUCUCUGUUAACGCUCCUAAACGAGCAUGAAGAACGGCACACUUUGGCUUCCCCUAUGUGGCAAAACUAUACCAACAGCCACUACAAAUGUCAACUAAUGUGUAUCUUAAUAUAUAUGGAUAGUGGGCAAAUGGUUUGUUUAACAUUGAAAUGUGUUGAUAUUUCAUUUAAUAAUGAUGUGUUCUCAUGUGUCCAAUGGCAGUGGAAAGCCUAAUGAGGCUACUCCUGGUGAAGAUGGAACAACUUCACCAAAAGGUGGAGCAUUUAAGCUCACUGAUGCAGUUCAGUGGGAGAGCUCCAGACAUCCAACCCCAGGGGGAGGAGGAGGAACAAGUACUCCCCAUUACUAGCUUGGAGACCUCAAAGCGGUCCUCUACCAGGGGACAGAAUGUGAAGCAAACAGUAUGGCGUUUGUGCAGGAAGGUCUUCACAACAGACUUGGCAACCCAAUUGAACUGGUGCAGGAGGGGGCAGAAGACUGGCAUCCGGUCAAUGCCAGUGAAAGACGUUAUUAUGUGAACUAAUGUGGCAGGGAUUGAAAGGGCAGUUCAAAACUUGCUCAGGCUGCGCCAAGACAGACUCAGGGGACAGCAGUGAAAGGAGAGACCUGCAGAAGAAGAGGAAGAUUAAUUAGCACAAUUGUUGAGUGUUU